rnacentral:rRNA from 4 species
GACCCCAGGUCAGACGGGACUACCCGCUGAGUUUAA